rnacentral:rRNA from 1 species
GUGAACGCUGGCGGUCGGCCUCACCCCUGCCCGUCGAACGGCAGCACCGUAAGAGCUUGCUCUUACGGGUGGCGAGUGGCGGACGGGUGAGGAAUACAUCGGAAUCUACUUUUUCGUGGGGGAUAACGUAGGGAAACUUACGCUAAUACCGCAUACGACCUACGGGUGAAAGCAGGGGAUCUUCGGACCUUGCGCGAUUGAAUGAGCCGAUGUCGGAUUGGCUAGUUGGCGGGGUAAAGGCCCACCAAGGCGACGAUCCGUAGCUGGUCUGAGAGGAUGAUCAGCCACACUGGAACUGAGACACGGUCCAGACUCCUACGGGAGGCAGCAGUGGGGAAUAUUGGACAAUGGGCGCAAGCCUGAUCCAGCCAUACCGCGUGGGUGAAGAAGGCCUUCGGGUUGUAAAGCCCUUUUGUUGGGAAAGAAAAGCAGCAGGUUAAUACCCCGCUGUUCUGACGGUACCCAAAGAAUAAGCACCGGCUAACUUCGUG